rnacentral:rRNA from 1 species
CCUGUAUCCGCCCGAGAACUACGAGCACAAACGCUUAAAACUCUAAGGACUUGGCGGUGCCCCAAACCCACCUAGAGGAGCCUGUUCUAUAAUCGAUAAUCCACGAUCCACCCAACCACCCCUUGCCCAAACANGCCUACAUACCUGCCGUCUGCCAGCCCACCUUAAUGAAAGACUAAAAAGUGAGCUCAAUAACCCCCCGCUAACAAGACAGGUCAAGGUAUAGCCCAUGGGGUGGAAGAAAUGGGCUACAUUUUCUAGUAUAGAAUAAACGAAAAAGGACAUGAAACUAGUCCUUGGAAGGAGGAUUUAGCAGUAAAAUAGGACCAUACUUUUCUAAGCCUAUUUAAAGACGCCCG